rnacentral:lncRNA from 1 species
AGAGGAAGAGCCAACAGCUCGAGUUCAUGGAAGGAGGGUGAAGGAGUUGAUAGAGAAUGAUGAAGUCGAUAGCUACUCCGCCAGAACCACUGGAAGAAUGGGGAGUGAGACAUGGGAAGAGGAGGCCCACCAGGAGAGGAAGCCCAGGCGGGAAGGGGAGAGUGUAGACCAGAAGUUGCAAAAGAUGAGAGAGCAACUCUUGGCCGAGCUAGGAAUGAAGGAUCAGAACCAGGCCCUCCUGCCCACCUCUUCGCCCUUCUCGAAGUGGGUACAGUAAGAGACCGUCCCCAAGAAGUUUAUGAUGCCGCCUAUGGCCGCAUACGACGGGGCUGGGAACCCUAGGGAGCAUGUCUUGAACUACAAGACUUUCAUGGAGCUGCAAACUCUGUCAGACGCCCUGAUGUGCAAGGUAUU